GAUGAACGCUGGCGGCGUGCUUAACACAUGCAAGUCGAGCGGUAAGGCCCUUUCGGGGGUACACGAGCGGCGAACGGGUGAGUAACACGUGAGCAACCUGCCCUUCUCCUUGGAAUACGCGAUGGAAACGACGUCUAAUGCCGAAUAUGACCCCCUGUCGCAUGGUGGGGGGUGGAAAGCCCUGGCGGAGCAGGGUGGGCUUGCGGCCUCUCAGCUUGUUGGUGUGGGUAAUGGACCACCAAGGCGACGACGGGUAGCCGGCCUGAGAGGGGGACCGGCCACACUGGGACUGAGACACGGCCCAGACUCCUACGGGGGGCAGCAGGGGGGAAUAUUGGACAAUGGGCGAAAGCCUGAUCCAGCAACGCCGCGUGAGGGAUGACGGCCUUCGGGUUGUAAACCUCUUUCAGCAGGGACGAAGCGAGAGUGACGGUACCUGCAGAAGAAGGACCGGCCAACUACGUGCCAGCCGCCGCAGUAA
rnacentral:rRNA from 1 species